CGGGGUUUGUGAGCGUUGGUUCCGGUGAAGUCAGCUAUUCACCAAGUUUCAUGAGUGUUUGAUGGACUGUAGUCGGUGUAGACAGACAAGGCUAUGCACCAAGUUUCAUGAGUGUUUGAUUGACUGUAGUGUGUGUGCCCAAAGACUUGAUUGGAACUGAAGAGCGCAGACAAGGCUAUGCACCAAGAGCUGAUUGGACUGAAGAGAGCAGAUAAGGCCAGUUCAUCGGCAGCUGCCAGGGGCUCUCUUC